rnacentral:rRNA from 1 species
UGAACGCUAGCGACAGGCUAACACAUGCAAGUCGAGGGGCAGCAUAAAGUAGCAAUACUUGGUGGCGACCGGCGCACGGGUGAGUAACGCGUAUGCAACCUACCUAUCAGAGGGGAAUAACCCGGCGAAAGUCGGACUAAUACCGCAUAAAACAGGGACACCGCAUGGUGAUAUUUGUUAAAGAAAUUCGCUGAUAGAUGGGCAUGCGUUCCAUUAGGUAGUUGGUGAGGUAACGGCUCACCAAGCCGACGAUGGAUAGGGGAACUGAGAGGUUGGUCCCCCACACUGGUACUGAGACACGGACCAGACUCCUACGGGAGGCAGCAGUGAGGAAUAUUGGUCAAUGGGCGGAAGCCUGAACCAGCCAUGCCCGCGUGCAGGAUGACGGCCCUACGGGUUGUAAACUGCUUUUCCCCGGGAAGAAUAAGCCCCUCGUGAGGGGUGAUGCCGGUACCGGGGGAAUAAGGAUCGGCUAACUCCGUGCCAGCAGCAGC